UGAAGCUUUGGUUUCUCAUCUGAUUCGGCUUCAUCACUUCAUGCUCCAAGGAUGACUGAAUUCUAUGCAUCAUCUUGCAAGGUUCCUCAAUGAAAGAAAUGUUUGUAUUUGUUGUGUUGAAAAUAUUGUGAGUUGUCAGUUUGUUGAAAUUUUUUGUUAUUUUCAUUUUGAGUUUUGGCUAUGAAAUUUAGUUGUACUUCAGUUAGUGUGUUUGAUCAUAUUGAGACCCUUCUCUCUUUUUUUUUUUUAAGAAAAUUCAUUUGAGUUCAUUUUUUUAUUUGAUGUCAGUGUUGUGGAUGAAUUGAUAGUGAAGGGAUUUUCAUGAAUACGCUUUCAUCUUACUUUUUCAUAGUUUUUCAUGUAUUCACAACACACUUGCUUUUGUGUCACGGCUGCCUCAUAUCAUCAUAGUUAAGGUAAUACAGUAGUUGAAAAUGUAUGACUGCAAAUAAUACUGUGUUUCUGAGUCUCAGCGAGUAUCUGUUUGUGGUGAGUGUAAUGAGGAAGUGAGAGAGAAAAGACAGAUCGAAGUUCUUCUGUCGUUCUCUAUUGAAGCCCAAGCUGGCAGGUGUACCCCAAUGGCUUGAAGAAAAUCUGACAUUUGUUUUGACACGAGUCGAGGGCCAUUAUCGGAAACAAUUUGGACAGGUGCACCAAAUCUACUCAAGAUUUCACCGCAAAAUUAAUAUGAAUACAACACCAAGGCUCCUGAGGAAAAUCCCAUAGCUAAGUGGUACGGCUGCAGGAUUGUUGCAAGUUUUAGGACAUGAUGAACAACUCAUUUCCAUAUGUUCAACCUCUUUGUUUCGCCCUAGCCACCCAAAGGAACUUCUUACGAUCUCUUUAUUUUCACGAUUCCACGAUGUUCUGCAUGAAGGUGCUCGAGCAUUUUAGUGUGCCCUUACAGUGGAAUGAUGAUCCUCCUUCCACAGAGCAGACACCCGGACUGGACGCUUUUGAGAGUUUGGAGUGGGAACCUUGAAAGUCCAUCUGCGCAUCAAUGAGCAUUUGAUUUGCGAUGCUUGACGUCGUAGGAGUGAGCCGACAACAGUAAAACCCACCGCUGAAAGACGGGGAGCUGCAAGAGAUGAUUGUCUAAAACCUGCUUCACUUUUAUGUCACUCCCUUCUCCUCUGCGCUCACUGACUUUGACUUGAAUUGAUUUGCACUGACAGAAAUGCUCGCUUUGUGUGCACAUACAAGGGUCGUGGUUCGCGCUGGAGCCGAUCCCGGCUGUCUGUGGGUAGUAGGCGGGGCACACCCUGAACUGGUUGACAACCAAUUGCAGGCCAUUCACAGCCGAACAAUCACACUAAGGGACAAUUGAGACGCAGGGGUGCCAAACUCAUUUUUGUCACGGGCUAUUUUGGAGUUAUGUCUUCCUCUGGAAGGCCGUUACACAGCUAAGCUGAAUAAAUGAUAAUUUUUAAAAAAUUA